rnacentral:rRNA from 1 species
CAGCAUGCCGCGUGUGUGAAGAAGGCCUUCGGGUUGUAAAGCACUUUUGUCCGGAAAGAAAACCUCUUGGUUAAUACCUGAGGGGGAUGACGGUACCGGAAGAAUAAGCACCGGCUAACUACGUGCCAGCAGCCGCGGUAAUACGUAGGGUGCGAGCGUUAAUCGGAAUUACUGGGCGUAAAGCGUGCGCAGGCGGUCUGUUAAGACCGAUGUGAAAUCCCCGGGCUUAACCUGGGAACUGCAUUGGUGACUGGCAGGCUUUGAGUGUGGCAAAGGGAGGUAGAAUUCCACGUGUAGCAGUGAAAUGCGUAGAGAUGUGGAGGAAUACCGAUGGCGAAGGCAGCCUCCUGGGCCAACACUGACGCUCAUGCACGAAAGCGUGGGGAGCAAACA